CCUACGGGUGGCUGCAGUGGGGAAUUUUGGACAAUGGGGGAAACCCUGAUCCAGCCAUGCCGCGUGCGGGAAGAAGGCCUUCGGGUUGUAAACCGCUUUCGGACGGAAAGAAAUCGCACGGACUAAUACUCUGUGUGGAUGACGGUACCGUAAGAAGAAGCACCGGCUAACUACGUGCCAGCAGCCGCGGUAAUACGUAGGGUGCGAGCGUUAGUCGGAAUUACUGGGCGUAAAUCGUGCGCAGGCGGUGAAAUCCCCGGGCUUAACCUGGGAACUGCGUUUCGAACUGGGAGACUAGAGUGUGUCAGAGGGAGGUGGAAUUCCGCGUGUAGCAGUGAAAUGCGUAGAUAUGCGGAGGAACACCGAUGGCGAAGGCAGCCUCCUGGGAUAACACUGACGCUCAUGCACGAAAGCGUGGGGAGCAAACAGGAUUAGAUACCCGUGUAGUC
rnacentral:rRNA from 1 species